AGACUGCCAGGAGAGCAGGUCCUCCUGCCACCACGGAAUACCCGAACGGACCUCAGUGAACGGACAGGACGACGCUCUUCUACAAGACAUGCAGCCGUUGCCAGUGAUUAAAGAAGAAAUUGUCCCUGAACACCAAGAAUGGAAUGUGACUGUUGACCAGGAGGCCAUUAGAGAAGAAGAGAAGCUGUGGAUAAGACAGCACAGAGAGCAGCUUCUGCAGCUGGAGGAGGCAGAUCUCACCAAGUUUGGUUUCACUGCCGUCCCUGUGAAGAGU